CCGGGGUUCGUAUAGGCAGGGAGCACAGGCGUAAGGCUGAGAUCGGCUUCCCUAGAGCCUUUCAAACUGGAUGGACCUGCACUUGUUGCUUAAAUGUCUUGAGGCCUGUGUUUCCACAUCUGGGAAAUGGGGAAAUUGUGGUGUUUGCUGUGAAGCUUCCUCAUUGGCUGAUGAACUCAUCUGGUGUUCCUAAGACCAACACCUUCAGUCCCAUUUCACAAAGUCCAAAUCACAAAGGAGGAAACUAUUUAUUUGAUGAAUGCUGUAUUGAAGACUUAGGAGGUGUGUCGUAACACCACCCAUCUAGAAGACCCCAGGAGAACUGAAUACCCCCAGUAGCUUUCAUCAUUCAGUGGCCAAAAGCACCACAACGUUUGUUGUCUUCUGAUUUCUGAGUUGUAAUGUGUUGGUAUCCAGGAGGCUCUUCUUCCCUUUAUACCUCACGAUGGUCCAAAGAAGACCAGAUACAGAAGAAAAAGAUUCAAGGAGAAGGCCUCUGUAAGACACAGUCAAAGUGCUAUUUAAGGUAAAACUGGACCAAGACGACACGGAGUUGAAUGCCACCAUGGUGACUGUAAGAGGAGGUGGGGCUGAUCGUGGGCAACAUGAUUGCAGUGGGGGGUCGGGGGCUGGAGUUGGUUGGGGGGGGGGAGUAGCUGAAUAAAAAAAUAAUAAAACAGAAAGGAAAGACAGAAAAGGACAUGACUGCUCCUAGGUACAGUAGAGGAGAAAGUUUAUUUAUUACAGAUAUUUGGGAGCACACAGUCAGAGUCAGGGAUAUUGGGAGAGUUCACAGUGGACAUGAAACUGAGCCAUUUGAGGAGUGGGGAGGAGAGAGAGGAGAUCUAGGUGUGGCAGCCAGGAGGCUCAAAAGAGAGGGUAAUCAAAAUGGCAGGCUAUAUAGAGAAGGGAAUCUGAGGGAAGAGCAGCCCAGUCCCUGGGCUGUAGAAGUUUCCGGUAGGGGGUGGGGUAUGCCAGCUAGAAGGACCCUGUAGCAGGUAGAGACUAAGGAAUCUGGGAGAACCUGGCGGCCUUGUCUGCUUUGAUACCUUAAGUAGGCACCUCAACCUUUUGUCCCAGGUUUGAUACCUCAUAGUAAAGCAACAGUAGUCUGUAUAGGGACUGAGAAUAACUGGGUAAAGUAGAUGUAGAAUGAGAAACAAUUUGCCAGUAACAUGCCUUUUCUUGUGGCAGACAUUUCAACCUGCACGGAGGUCUUUUCUGCUAGAGUUCACGUCCAGGCAUAUUUGAAAAGCUGAUGGGGCAGACUAAGAAGAUAUUUGUAUGCAUUU
rnacentral:lncRNA from 1 species